rnacentral:rRNA from 1 species
CGGCCUACGGGACGCAGCAGUGGGGAAUAUUGGGCAAUGGGGGAAACCCUGACCCGGCAACGCCGCGUGAAGGAAGAAGGCUUUCGGGUUGUAAACUUCUUUUGACAGGGAAGAACAGAAGACGGUACCUGUCGAAUAAGCCACGGCUAACUACGUGCCAGCAGCCGCGGUAAUACGUAGGUGGCAAGCGUUGUCCGGAUUUACUGGGUGUAAAGGGCGUGUAGCCGGGCUGACAAGUCAGAUGUGAAAUCCGGGGGCUCAACCCCCGAACUGCAUUUGAAACUGUUGGUCUUGAGUAUCGGAGA